CUUGUUUCUAUUAUUAUUCAUAUUGGACUUCCUUUGCGUGUCUUGUUAAAUGUUUGUUAAACUAUCCCUUUAAUGUUUUCCCAGGUAGAAAUGAAUCUCCUCCAGGAAAUGUUUGUAUUUGUGCUGCAUGGUUGUAUUUUUCCACAGGGUUCAUGUUGGUCUUUGUCUGCAGGGGGGGAGGAUUCUGGAUCAUAUCCAGGUCAGUGCAGGUAGGUGUAAGCUAGUCAAACCCAUACGCCUCUAUCCUAAUCCAUCUGUUAGUAUCUACCUUCAGUCAAAACUUUCUUAAUGCUCUUAUCGUCCUUUACCACAAACACACAGUUCAUGUCGUCCUCCAUUGAAGCCAUAACUUCAGGUAUAUUCAGGUGAUAACAGUAUUGAGUAAAUACUGUUUGUCUUUUCCCAGCAUUCCUCAGAUGCUCCGCCUCAGGACUUGGAGAUUGUCACACACACACACA
rnacentral:lncRNA from 1 species